GUCUAUGGCCAUGACACCUUGAACAAGGCCGAUCCUAUCUGAUCUUGGAAGCUAAGCAGGGUCGGGCCUGGUUAGUACUUGGAUGGGAGACCACCUAGGAAGACCAGGUGCUAUAGGCA
rfam:Pteropus alecto contig81595, whole genome shotgun sequence.